CCGAAGCCUCGGCCGCAUCAGCAGCUACCAGUUCAGGUUCGGGCUCAGACUCCGGUUCGGGUUCCGGCUCUGGCUCGCCGCCGCCGCACGGUCCGCGAAACUCGCCAAGGAAUAGCUCCAGGAAGCGCCGGAUGAAAACAGCAGCAUCCAUCCCAGGCAUGGUGGCUCUUGCCUGUAAUCCCAGCACUGUGGAAGACUGGAGAAUCCCAAGCUGCGGCUCAGCCUGGGCAAUUUAGUGACACCCCAUCUCAAAAUAAAAAAUGGCUAUGCUGUUGUCAUACAGGAACAUAGAGUACACCUCCUUGUGCAUGGCUAAUAAAUGAUUUGAAAGAACUUUAGAGGGCGGCAUUCCUUAACCACCUACUUGUUUCAG